CCUACGGGAGGCAGCAGUAAGGAAUAUUGGUCAAUGGACGCAAGUCUGAACCAGCCAUGCCGCGUGAAGGAUUAAGGUCCUCUGGAUUGUAAACUUCUUUUAUUUGGGACGAAAAAGGGCCUUUCUAGGUCAACUGACGGUACCAGAUGAAUAAGCACCGGCUAACUCCGUGCCAGCAGCCGCGGUAAUACGGAGGGUGCAAGCGUUAUCCGGAUUCACUGGGUUUAAAGGGUGCGUAGGCGGGUAGGUAAGUCAGUGGUGAAAUCCUAGAGCUUAACUCUAGAACUGCCAUUGAUACUAUCUAUCUUGAAUAUUGUGGAGGUAAGCGGAAUAUGUCAUGUAGCGGUGAAAUGCUUAGAUAUGACAUAGAACACCUAUUGCGAAGGCAGCUUACUACGCAUAUAUUGACGCUGAGGCACGAAAGCGUGGGGAUCAAACAGGAUUAGAUACCCUGGUAGUCCACGCCCUAAACUAUGAUUACUCGACAUUUGAGAUACACAUUAAGUGUCUGAGAGAAGANAUAAGUAAUACACCUAGGAGUACGUCCGCGAGAGAGAACGACAAAGAAGUAGUAGACGNGAGAGACGACGACGACGGACGACGACGGGAGGGAGGAGG
rnacentral:rRNA from 1 species